rnacentral:rRNA from 1 species
AUGGAGCCCCACAUGGAGAGCGCGCUCCGUCAAGGGUUGACGGAGCCGGAGCGGAGGGAGGUGGAGGGCGUGGUGGAGGAGCACCACACAUUCCCUGGGCGCACCAGCGGGACGUGCACGUCACUGGUCACACAGCGCGUGCAGGCACCUCUUGCCGCCGUGUGGGACAUCGUGCGCGGCUUCGCCAAUCCACAGCGCUACAAGCACUUCAUCAAGUCCUGUGCUCUCGCCGCCGGCGACGGCGCCACCGUGGGCAGUGUCCGCGAGGUCACCGUCGUCUCCGGCCUCCCCGCCUCCACCAGCACCGAGCCCCAUGGAGGUCGAGCUCUUGAAUCUAUUCCUCUUCCCAUUUGUGUUGCCUUCUUCUCCAGGGCGAUGGUCCGGCAUAUGACCGUCGUUUUGAUGGCCACGUGUCCAUGA